rnacentral:rRNA from 1 species
GAUGAACGCUGGCGGCGUGCCUAAUACAUGCAAGUCGAGCGAACGGACGAGAAGCUUGCUUCUCUGAUGUUAGCGGCGGACGGGUGAGUAACACGUGGAUAACCUACCUAUAAGACCGGGAUAACUUCGGGAAACCGGAGCUAAUACCGGAUAAUAUUUUGAACCGCAUGGUUCAAAAGUGAAAGACGGUCUUGCUGUCACUUAUAGAUGGAUCCGCGCUGCAUUAGCUAGUUGGUAAGGUAACGGCUUACCAAGGCAACGAUGCAUAGCCGACCUGAGAGGGUGAUCGGCCACACUGGAACUGAGACACGGUCCAGACUCCUACGGGAGGCAGCAGUAGGGAAUCUUCCGCAAUGGGCGAAAGCCUGACGGAGCAACGCCGCGUGAGUGAUGAAGGUCUUCGGAUCGUAAAACUCUGUUAUUAGGGAAGAACAUAUGUGUAAGUAACUGUCACAUCUUGACGGUACCUAAUCAGAAAGCCACGGCUAACUACGUG